rnacentral:rRNA from 1 species
UACGUAGGGUGCAAGCGUUGUCCGGAAUCAUUGGGCGUAAAGCGCGCGUAGGCGGCCCCGUAAGUCCGCUGUGAAAGUCAAAGGCUCAACCUUUGAAAGCCGGUGGAUACUGUGGGGCUAGAGUCCGGAAGAGGCGAGUGGAAUUCCUGGUGUAGCGGUGGAAUGCGCAGAUAUCAGGAGGAACACCAAUAGCGAAGGCAGCUCGCUGGGACGGUACUGACGCUGAGACGCGAAAGCGUGGGGAGCGAACAGG